rnacentral:rRNA from 1 species
AAUAGAUACCCGGGUAGUCCACGCCCUAAACGAUGCUCACUAGGUGUUGGGGAAGCGAUUCCUUGGUACCGUAGCUAACGCGUGAAGUGAGCCGCCUGGGGAGUACGGCCGCAAGGUUAAAACUCAAAGGAAUUGACGGGGACCCGCACAAGCGGCGGAUGAUGUGGAUUAAUUCGAUGCAACGCGAACAACCUUACCUACCCCUGACAUGUCCGGAAGCCUGCUGAAAGGCGGGGGUGCUCGAAAGAGAACCGGAACACAGGUGCUGCAUGGCUGUCGUCAGCUCGUGUCGUGAGAUGUUGGGUUAAGUCCCGCAACGAGCGCAACCCUUGUCCCUAGUUGCUACGCAAGGGCACUCUAGGGAGACUGCCGGUGACAAACCGGAGGAAGGUGGGGAUGACGUCAAGUCCUCAUGGCCCUUAUGGGUAGGGCUUCACACGUCAUACAAUGGACGGUACAGAGGGUUGCCAACCCGCGAGGGGGAGCCAAUCCCAGAAAGCCGUUCGUAGUCCGGAUCGCAGUCUGCAACUCGACUGCGUGAAGUCGG